rnacentral:rRNA from 1 species
CACGAAGCAAGCUGAGCUACCGCAAGGCUAUUAUUAGAUUAGUAAUAUGUUGCAUAAUAUACAGCUGACGUUGCGUUAGGGGUGAUAGGCUUAACAAAUCUUGCGAUAACUUGAUGUCCCCGAAAAGUAUUAAGUACAUAGAUAAUUGAAGAGUGCCAAGGUUCUUCAAAUGUAUAAAUAUUUAUUCAUUUUAAAAAUGAUCUAACGAUCUAUUUUUCUAUAGAGAAAAUAUAUUUUUAAUAGUAUUGUAGCAUUUAGGGGACGUUAUAAAAACUUUUUAAAAUAUUAAUAAUGUUACUAUAAGUAAUCGAAAGGUAUUAUUAAUGAACUCGGCAAUAAUGUCUCACAGCUGUUUAUCAAAAACAUCGCUACUAGUAUAUACUAGUAGUCCCUUCUGCUCAAUGAGUUUUAAAUAGCCGCAGUACCUUGACUGUGCAAAGGUAGCAUAAUCAAUUGGCUUAUAAUUGAAGUCUAGAAUGAAUGAAAAUAUGUGGGGUGACUGUAUCUAUAAUAUAUUUUGAAAUUAUUUAAUGAGUGCAAAUUCUCAUUUAUAAAUAAUAGACGAGAAGACCCUAGAAAUUUUUACAAUAAAGGUUCUUUUUGUUUUUGUUGGGGCAACAAAGUAACAGGUAAUUUACUUAAUAAACAAGAAAUUUGUUAGUAAGAUGAAAUUACUCUAGGGAUAACAGCGUAAUAUUAAAAUGUUUGCGACCUCGAUGUUGGAUUAGGAAGCGACGGCU